AACGUAGGACGCGAGCGUUAUCCGGAGUUACUGGCGUAAAGCGCGGGCAGGCGGUCUGACAAGUCUGAUGUGAAAUCUCCGGGCUUAACCGGGAGAGGCCACUGGAAACUGACAGGCUGGAGGGCAGUAGAGGUAGGCGGAAUUCCGGGUGGAGUGGUGAAAUGCGUAGAGAUCCGGAGGAACACCAGAGGCGAAGGCGGCCUACUGGGCUGCACCUGGACG
rnacentral:rRNA from 1 species